GCACCCGCCGAGAACGCGGCCCCGGCGCGCAUCCUUCCGCCGCACCGGCGUCAGGCCCGCAUCUGCUCGCCCGAGCGGGGACAUGCGGGCGGCAAACAGCGAUGGGGACGCGCAGGGAACGAGGGAGGGCUUGGGACCGCUGCUGCCGGGCCCCGCCGUCCGUCACCCCCGGCGCCGGGGGAGCCCCGUGUGCCCGCAGCCCCGGGGCAGGGACGGCCGCGCGUUCCCGCUGGGAUGUGGCGGUGGCGCGGCCUGGCAGCUGUGCCCUGCUCCAGGAACAGUACAGAAGUACAGGGGAAGGAGUUGCUGCAGUUUCACCCUUUAAUGCCAAAUAUUUACGUGGAGGUUAUGCAGCUAUGGAACUGUUGGCUGGAAGCGACCUCUGGAGGUCUCCAGCCCAAAGGCCCCAUCGGAGCGGGACCCAUGGACACCAGGUCACAUCAGUCCCAGCCACGUCUGAAAACCUGCAGGGCUGAAAGCUCCUCUGCCUCCCCAGAGAUGACCAAUGGCCGUGCUGUUCACUACCUUGGCAAGAAGAUUCUCCUGGGUUCAGUCUGCCCCUCCCGCUGACCCUUUAGCCAUCACCCCCAGCUGUGCUGGCUCUGUCGCGUUAAUAACUGCGCUUGAGUAGCUGUAAACUGCCGUUAGAUUUGCCUCAGCCGCCUUCUCGCCAAAGCAAACAAGUUACUCCUUGCUCACCGGCUGCUGGACCCUCUUCUCAAUGGCUCUUUUGAACAGGGGUAGGAAUUUGUUUAUAACAGGGUAUGGCUGCUGGAUUUAUAAUCCACCAGGAGGAACCCAUUAGACCUCACUUUCUAGGAACACUGCUUUUUAUUAUCUUACUAUAUCAUUUAUUUUCUCAUCCUGAUCCUGCAAAAGUUUUACAUCCAUUACUGUGGUGCUCUUGUUGCUUGUGUGGCAGCAGCUCGAAGGACCCCAGCCCUGCUGGAGGAGGACAGGACCCAGUGACAACCUGACAUUGCCCCAGAGGCUUCUUAACUCCUGGGAACUUCAUCCUCAGCUGCUGAAGGUGGCUGCUGGGUCACUUUGGUCAGUGGGAUUGGAAGAGAGCCAUCACCUGCCUCCUGGACGGUCUGCCAGCCCUGCUGUGUGGUGAGUUUCAGCUCCGGAGACUUUUUUGCCCAAACAGGAUGAUUUUUGUGUUCUGUUUUACUACGCCACAGUGUGCAGGGCUGUUUUGGUAGUCACCUGCUGCCCUAGUUGUUAAAUACAUGGGAUCUGUCAGUAGUGCCUCUCUCAGCUGUGAGUGGGACCACGGAUGGAGUGGGGGAAGCAGGAUGGGCUGGGCAGCUGCUCAGUGUCUCCCCAGACACAUACAAAAGGACAUCUGUGCUGUGCAGUGGCAAUGGGAGAGGGAAACAGGAGUAUUGUCUCCCUUAGCAAACCUGGCCCUGGAAAAGAUAAUGUAUAUAGCCAUCUCUGGAUGUGGUGCACAUGUGGAUCUGAUCAUGACAGAGACUUGUGAGCAGGAGCUGUCAGUGCUUAAAGCUCAUUGUCUGUCUUGUAACUUCUGCAUUUACACCAACAUGCAGGGUAUUAACAGGUUAUCCAAAGCUUGCCUGGGGUUUGCAGGCCUGACUUUGAAGUACAAAAAUCAGCUAGACUGUGACGUUUUAAGUGACCUGGCUGACAAUAUGGGCGUCACUAUAGCCUUCUGUAAGGCUGGUUUCCAAACGUGCCUUUACAAGAACACUGGGGUUCCCUGGCUGUAGUUUUAAGAGAGUUUCAAGUUGAGGGGAAUAAAGCUUCAAGCAAUUCCACUGCAGAGUUUGUAAAUGAGCACAAAAAUGCAUUGAAUGGGAGCUGUACAGACUUCUGAUGGGUUUGACAGCACAGCUCAAAAGUUCCUUAAAUAAAAAGUCUGUGAUUUCUGGCAGCUUGCAAGUGCUGAACUUCUUUGGAUUUCAAAGCAAAUAGAUACAUCUUAACAAAGACCACCCCUUGUCAGCUAUCCUAAAAAUUAUAGCAGAGAGAUUGAAAUAAAAUGUGUGUAUUUGUCUCUCCUGGGACAUGACGGAAGGGGAAAGCAUUAUCAGAAUUCUUUAAACUCCUCUUAACAGUAUUGAACCAAUUAUUUUGUUAAAUCUGGGUUUGUUUUCUGCCUCUCAAUGAGAACAUUUGAAGUCUAUCUUCUCCACCAUUUACGAGUUACCAGUCUGCAAGUGUAAAAUUUCCAACUGGAACAUAUGGUAUCAGAGGGAACAAGGGGGAAAUAUCUGAUUGCUCAUGCUCCCCAAACUCCAAAUCUACUCCAUUUAGUAUUUUGCUCACAGUUCCUGUAGGGGAAAAUAAAAGAAAUCAUCUCUGAUCUGAGACCAAGCACUGAACAUUUCACCCUGAAUAGGAAUCUGUUUGAAAAACUUAUAAGCAGCUGAAAAGGGAAUAGAAUAGAAACUACAUUUCUGUUUCUUCACAAUGGGCAGAACUGAGCGAUGCUGAUAAAACCUCUCUGAACCUUCUUCUCCGAGUUUUGACCCCUGUUUUGGGGCCUUGCCUCCAGCCAGCACAUGGGGACAGAGCCAGUAGCAGGGCAGAAACCACUUGUUCUCUUUCCUUUGGGUGUCAGUGAGGCUGGGCAGUCCAAGGCUGCCAGCAGAGCUGGGCGUGCAGGCAGUGGGGCUGCUGUGGCCUCUGCACAGGCUGGGAGAUGUGCUCUGCCUCUGAGCCCCGUGGCAUGGGAGGCUGUGCAGGACACCUUGCUGGCCAUGCUGCCUGGGUUAACCCCGCUUGGAGUUUGGAACUGGCCUGAGACUCACCUGCAAUGACAUUUGACCUUUGAAAUCACCAGGCAGCACCAGCUAUUGGGCACUGGGUAGCCACAGUGCUCCUGUAAUUUGUCAGUUCCUUGCUGGCCUCUUGGUGCUCCCCUGGGCUGAGCCAUUCUAAAGGGGCAUCCCUUUAGCUGUCAGUGAUCCUGCAACCUUCCCUCUGUGCAGGGCAGCAAGGAUCCCCUUCCUUUGCUUUCCUGCAGAGCAGAGGCUGAGCCCUGAGUAACCAGGCUGUAAGGUGUUAGAAACAGGCUUCUCACUCUUCAUCCUGGCAGAAUAAGGAGGUCCUAAGCCUGUAGCCCAGGGAACUGAUGUGACCAAAUCACAGAAGAGGAACCUUUCACUUGGCAGCAUGAUGGUCGUGUAGUGCCACAUGUACAACCAAAUCUAUCCUCCCUGCCAUUCAGACAGAAAGCAGCUUGUUUUGGAGCAACUUCCCUGGGAGGGGGAGGAACAGAUGUUUGAACCAGAAGCGUGUGUGACAGUUGGGAGAGACAGCGUGGAAACGCACAGUUGAAAGGAGAAGUCUGAUGGGAGUGUGAUGACAGCAGCAGGACUUCAGUGACAAGGAGUGGGAAGGAGAACAAGCAGGGAGGAGUGUUACUUCAAAAGCUGAGCAAAGUGCACAAGAAGAUAUGUCAGGAAAGCGUCAGAGAAAGGAAGAGAGGAAAUGUGAGAGUAGAGACAGGCUUUGGGAUCUGUCUGCAAGCAUGUGUGACCUGUUGCCUGACAAACAGAGAAAGGAAGGCCUUUUAUUCCUCUGCCUCCUUCCACCAAGUUAACUCUUCUUGCAGGCGAGCUGGCUGCCAGCUCUGCUGGAGCUCUUCACUGAGUGCUCCUGGAAGGUAAAGCUGCCUCUGCUGCUCCAAAGCACGGUGACUGGGGGUACUGUGUGAAGGUCCUCUGUCAGGGAUGCCCAAGCCCUUCCUCUGCCUUUAUAGGGUGGCACAGUAGCCACAAGCCUUGGGACUUCUGGCCACUGCAAGAGUCUGAGGAGAAGAGGUGACAAUCUCGUAGCAGGCUUCACCUGUAAUUGUGCUGCGAUCACAGGGGCAGGAUGUGUGAGCAGGGAGAGGGAAGUGUGCUUGAGUAUUUCUCCUGCAGCAGGGAGGGACCUCUCCAGCAGUGCCUUACCCUGGUGACAUCAAUCACAGCUCUGCAGUGUCUGCUUUUACCCUAGUUCAGCAGAUGUGCGAGGCAGACCGGGAAUACGCUGCUGGAGUGUGAAGCCUUGGAGCUGGGGGAGGGGGCACAGUCACUUCUCCUCCUGAGGGGUUUGCUGAGGCAGUUUUGCACAGCCCUGCCUUCACCCAGGGUGCCUUGAGAAACACAAACUGGUCCGUUCUGCUUUGUGACCUCUUGUAGGGAGGGGAGAAUUUCCUUAAGUAUAGGGUGAGCCUUGGGAUAGAAUAAUGAAGGGAUUGCAAGGUAGAUGCCAGCCACAGCCAGCUGGGCCAGGAGCUGCAGUCUGACGAUGGAUGUUGCACGACUGGCGACUUUCAGCCUUCAUACAAACAUUGGCAUUCAUUUCUUGGUAUGAAAUCCCAGCAAAUUAGAGGCAGACAAUAUCCCUUAAGCAACGGGGAAGGCUGAACCAGGGUGAUGGAGACAGGUCAGGGUGUGCUGUGUCCAGCAGCUCUGGGGGAGAGGAGUCUCACAGCAGGGACCUGUCAGUAGUAUGGGCUGUGCAGGGUUGAGGCUCAGCCAGCAAUGCCUUCUUUCAUUUAUUUAUUUUAAGGAUGAAAUGGAUGGAGAGGAACGUGAGGGAAAAACAGUGUCAGGACACUGCACUAGUGCCAGGGUGUUGAGCACUGUUGUAGAAACAGCUUGAUGAAGGGGUGGAAGCCUGAAGGAUCUGCCCCUCCUCACCAGGAGAAGCAAUGCAGGCUCGUGGUAAGGAAGUUAGUUUUGGGCUCCAUGGAAUCAAUGCACAGGUGAUGUUGGGAGUGUAAAGAUGAUGAAAGCCUCUCUGGUGCCUGCUGUACUGGUUGACUGGGCUGCAGGACCCUUCUUGGGGCUGGUCUGAGGAGAGCAGCCGUGGGCAGCUCUCUGUGUGGCUGUACUGGCUGCUCUUACUCCAAAGCUGGGGUGUGGGUCUGGUGCUGAGGGGCAGAGGGGACCUGCAGGCUGCCAGGGUGGCCUCAGACAGAAGGAGCACAGAGGAGCAGGGACCUUGGUGUUUUCACCCAGAAGUGAUGUACUUUGUAGCAGGAUAGGGUUGAGUAUAGAUGCUUGGCUUUAUGGAGCAGAAUUACACCUUUCUUCUAAUUAACUUGCACAGGAUCUUUUGCAAGUUAAUUGUAAGAGUCAGGGUCAGACCCAAGUUGCAUUUUCUAAAGGUACUGGUGAAGGUACUGAAAUUAAAUUCUCGUGAGUGGAAGGGUGGAAGGGUGACCUGUUCUCCCUGCAGUUGAAGCUCAGAGCAACAGAGCAGUCUUUAGUCUCUGGAGGAGGUUUAAAAAUCUUCCAGGUCUGUGUUCCUUGUAAAAAAAAAUUUAGUCAGCACUUGACACAUCUGACAGUUGUCAGCCCUUGUUCAAUGUGAUCAGGGCACUGUGUACUGAAUAAAUCAGGGAACUCCAUUCUGCCUCGUGGCUGGGAAAUGCUCCAUCACCAAACCCUGGAGAGAUGCCGGGGUGCCUUUGGAAAGCAGCUCACUGGACAGCACAGGUGUUCUGCCUUUGCCCUCCCAGCCUAGGCUUGCAGAGAAGGUUUCCUUAGGACCAGCAGCCUGACUUGCUCAGGCUGGUGCUGCAGCCACACUCCUGGGGGAGCAGAGCCGUACAUCACCCAGCAUUUUAUGUGUGCCUGGGAAAGGGAGCCUGAAUCCCCUUCCUGCACGGAGAGCUGCCAGGCUGGAUGCCAACACACAACCCUCAGCAUUUUUUUAUUUACUAUAAACCUCUUAAAUGAAGGCUGGGGGAUGUUUUUCAUUUACCAUGUUACUGUAUGGAACCAAU